AUUGAACGCUGGCGGCAUGCCUUACACAUGCAAGUCGAACGCGAAAGUAGGGGCAACCCUGCGAGUAGAGUGGCGAACGGGUGAGUAAUGCAUCGGAACAUUUCCAGUAGCGGGGGAUGACCUCGAGAAAUCGAGGCUAAUACCGCAUACGUCCUACGGGAGGAAGCGGGGGACCGCAAGGCCUCGCACUAUUGGAGUGGGCGAGGCCGGAUUAGCUAGGUGGCGGGGUAAAAGCCCACCAAGGGGACGAUCCGUAGCGGGUCUGGGAGGCUGACCAGCCACACUGGGACUGAGAAACGGCCCAGACUCCUACGGGAGGCAGCAGUGGGGAAUUUUGGACAAUGGGCGCAAGCCUGAUCCAGCCAUGCCGCGUGAGUGAAGAAGGCCUUCGGGUUGUAAAGCUCUUUCGGCCGGGACGAAAUCGCACCCUUUAAUACGGGGUGUGGAUGACGGUACCGGAAGAAGAAGGACCGGCUAACUACGUGCCAGCCGCCGCAGUAA
rnacentral:rRNA from 1 species